GGGGCUGUUGCUCAGCGGAAGAGCAUCUGCUUGGCGUGCCGACAGUGCCAGGUUCAGCCCCUGGUGUCUCCA
rnacentral:tRNA from 1 species